rnacentral:rRNA from 1 species
UACGUAGGGUCCGAGCGUUGUCCGGAAUUAUUGGGCGUAAAGGGCUCGUAGGCGGUCUGUUGCGUCGGGAGUGAAAACUUACAGCUUAACUGUGAGCGUGCUUUCGAUACGGGCAGACUUGAGGCAUUCAGGGGAGAACGGAAUUCCUGGUGUAGCGGUGAAAUGCGCAGAUAUCAGGAGGAACACCGGUGGCGAAGGCGGUUCUCUGGGAACGUCCUGACGCUGAGGAGCGAAAGCGUGGGGAGCGAACAGG